UGCCAGCAGCCGCGGUAAUACGGAGGGUGCAAGCGUUGCUCGGAAUCACUGGGCGUAAAGCGCACGCAGGCGGCUUUUCAAGUCGGAUGUGAAAGCCCCGGGCUCAACCCGGGAACUGCAUUCGAAACUGGGAGGCUUGAGUUCGAGAGAGGGUGGUGGAAUUCCUGGUGUAGAGGUGAAGUUCGUUGAUAUCAGGAGGAACAUCGGCGGCGAAGGCGGCCACCUGGCUCGAUACUGACGCUCAUGUGCGAAAGCGUGGGGAGCAAACAGGAUUAGAUA
rnacentral:rRNA from 1 species